UAGGGAAUAUUGCACAAUGGGCGAAAGCCUGAUGCAGCGACGCCGCGUGAGUGAUGAAGGCCUUCGGGUCGUAAAGCUCUGUUGUACGGGAAGAAAUGUUCAUGACUAAUACUCAUGAAUUUUGACGGUACCGUAUCAGAAAGGACCGGCUAACUUCGUGCCAGCAGCCGCGGUAAUACGAGGGGUCCUAGCGUUAAUCGGAAUUACUGGGCGUAAAGCGCACGUAGGCGGAUUUGUCAGUCAGGGGUGAAAUCCCGAGGCUCAACCUCGGAACUGCCUCCGAUACAGCAAGUCUCGAGUCCGGAAGAGGUGAGUGGAAUUCCUAGUGUAGAGGUGAAAUUCGUAGAUAUUAGGAAGAACACCAGUGGCGAAGGCGGCUCACUGGUCCGGUACUGACGCUGAGGUGCGAAAGCGUGGGGAGCAAACAGGAUUAGAUACCCCCGUAGUCCCUGAGCGGGCUGGCAAGGCGCAU
rnacentral:rRNA from 1 species